rnacentral:rRNA from 1 species
GACAGAGGGGGCAAGCGUUGCUCGGAAUUACCGGGCGUAAAGGGCGCGUAGGCGGGAUGGCAAGUCGGUCGUGAAAUCCCUCGGCUCAACCGAGGAACGUCGAUCGAUACUGCUGUUCUUGAGGAUUGCAGAGGAGACUGGAAUUCCCGGUGUAGCGGUGAAAUGUGUAGAGAUCGGGAGGAACACCGGUGGCGAAGGCGGGUCUCUGGGCAAUUCCUGACGCUGAGGCGCGAAAGCGUGGGGAGCAAACGGG